rnacentral:rRNA from 1 species
UACGUAGGGGGCUAGCGUUGUCCGGAAUCAUUGGGCGUAAAGCGCGCGUAGGCGGCCCGGUAAGUCCGCUGUAAAAGUCAAAGGCUCAACCUUUGAAUGUCAGUGGAUGCUGCCGGGCUAGAGUCCGGAAGAGGCGAGUGGAACUCCUGGUGUAGCGGUGGAAUGCGCAGAUAUCAGGAAGAACACCGACGGCGAAGGCAGCUCGCUGGGACGGUACUGACGCUGAGGCGCGAAAGCGUGGGGAGCGAACAGG